AGAGAAGGCUUCAAAAUCAUCUUUGACGACAAAGACUUAAUUCCUCAUUCAAGCUGAACUUGAACGAACCAACUUCCAGCCUCUUAAUAUACUUUUCAUGUCAAAUCAACCUUUGAUUGCGAAAGAAACAUUGCAAGGAAAAGUUAUUGUCAAUCACUCACUGCCAACCUAUGGUGUUUUAUGGAUUAAAUCUAGUCAAAACGCUUGCUAUAGAAAAAAGGCCUCAUGUUUUUAGGUACACCAAAAUAGUGUUAAUAUAUCUCAAGGCUACGAAAUAUCAUAAAGUUUUGAGUUCCUACUAAUCAAAAUUUGACUUGGAAGGACCCUUUUGAGUCAGAGAUGACAUGGACUUAGUGAAAUUUGAAAAAAAUGAUUUUUCUUUCCAAAGCCCUCUGCCAAGUUACGUUUUCAAGUUUUCAAGUGUCAAAUGAGGCCUACAAGAAUGUGGAGACAUACACAAGAGGACUUCAGACGUUCCAGUCACAAACAGGUACGAGCAGAGUUGCCAAGCUAAAAGGACAUGACUAUCAUUGUGGCUUGAAAACAGUCAUAUGCCAAAUUAUCUACAAUUGCUUGAUUUGAAGGUGCAGCUUUCACCUAAAGAGUUAAGUUCAUCUGCAGAACCUAAGUUGUUUAAGAAAAAAGGACAUAAUUUAAAGGUUGACAUUAUUUUAGAUCAAAAUUAAUGUUUAUCAAAAAAAUGAUUUUUUUUUGAUUUUAUAAAAGUUCAAAAGGAAAAAGGAUAUUGUUCUAGAAAUAAAGGUCGCCAAAUGGCAACAACUGUUCAGAAUAAAACUUUGAGGCUAUUUGAACAAAGUCACCACAACAUGUAUGGCAGCCCUGGUUGUUUGGUGUCCCUACCGUCGCUGCUACAAUUGUACCAAUGAUGGCGAGCCGGCUACGAGUAAGGUUGGAAACGAAGGGCAACUUUUUUCUUGCUCUACCAUUUUCUGAACUUUGUUCCACAGUCAGAAGGCCAGACGGCAGUCCUCCUGUUCGUCUUAAAGGUCACCUAGAGUCGAGUGACUUGACUUUUGGGGCUCCUAGGACCUCAAAUGGGGACACCAACAACAGCACUUACGAAGAGGACGGAGAGAACGCGGAGGUCGUUCGUUGUCCUGACGGAUUUCGUCUUUCUCGGUAGAACAAGGAACUUUGUGUGGAGAACGUCUCGACGAAUGUGCGCACCUACAUAUAUUCGUAAGACCGUUUCUUUGCCUACUCUAGAAGUCGUCAAUGGAGGCAGUGGAUAGCUAGACGGACCAAACGUUAAAACACUCACUCGUCGUCCAGUUGACGAACUCACCUUUUGACCAUGACAGCAUUGGCAUCCACGUCAACACGAGGAAGAACGACAAUACCAAGGCAGUGGGGACCCAUGCCAGGAACAUGAGGUUCGUACUGAAAUAUCAACCCAGAAAACACGAUGAAUGGAGGACUUACCACCGUUGUAUGUAGACAGUAUGCCUAUCGGAGAAGGGAAUCUUUCCUCAACAUUCACCGUUACGGAUGAAAACAUACUGUUUUGAAUGAGCAAAAUCCCCACUUUGAAUGUGGAAGGGAUAUUCCUUUACGGACGUGAAGAAUUCAAAGUUUAGAGCCCACACCACCGCUGCCAAGUGGAACAAUUCCCCCUGUUCCUGGUGCUGUUCCAGCCCCGCCCGCACUUCCGCUCCCACUCACAUUCAUCAAGGACGACGAGUUCGAUGAUUGAUGUCGGUAGCUUCCCGGCCUUCGACCAAAUCCUCCGCCCACUGAAGACGAGUCCUUGAUUUGUCAAAGAAAACAACGAGAUAUGAGUUCCAUGGAGUAAUGAAACCAUAUGCAGUAAAGUCAAAUAAUAUCAUUAGCAUCUUUAUACGUAGAUCUGCUUCAGGCACCCUCGGCUGGAAAGCCCAUUAAGAUUCAUCACUCUCUCAAACGAUCUCUUUCCAUCUGUUCUUGCCGAUAUGCUUGAUCGACGAAAAAAACCAAAGGCCAAAUAAUUUUUCACAAUUACGGAAAUGUCUCUACAUAGAUCACCACCUGAAGUAUCUGAAGCAUCUGGAUCUUGAUUCUUAAACAUACAAACAUACAUGUCUUUUUACUCACCAGAGG